GACGAACGCUGGCGGCGUGCCUAAUACAUGCAAGUUGAGCGCUGAAGGUUGGUACUUGUACCAACUGGAUGAGCAGCGAACGGGUGAGUAACGCGUGGGGAAUCUGCCUUUGAGCAGGGGACAACAUUUGGAAACGAAUGCUAAUACCGCAUAAAAACUUUAAACACAAGUUUUAAGUUUGAAAGAUGCAAUUGCAUCACUCAAAGAUGAUCCCGCGUUGUAUUAGCUAGUUGGUGAGGUAAAGGCUCACCAAGGCGUUGAUACAUAGCCGACCUGAGAGGGUGAUCGGCCACAUUGGGACUGAGACACGGCCCAAACUCCUACGGGAGGCAGCAGUAGGGAAUCUUCGGCAAUGGACGAAAGUCUGACCGAGCAACGCCGCGUGAGUGAAGAAGGUUUUCGGAUCGUAAAACUCUGUUGGUAGAGAAGAACGUUGGUGAGAGUGGAAAGCUCACCAAGUGACGGUAACUACCCAGAAAGGGACGGCUAACUACGUG
rnacentral:rRNA from 1 species